GUCUCAAUAACCUCUGUAAUUUAUCUUCUGGCACCUGUCAAUGUCAAAGUCUAGGCGGAAGUGUCGGUCCAGUUCAAGCAUCCGACAGACAAAAUCCUAGAGCCUGUAGAACAAACUUAGAUUGUGUUCGGAUGAACCCCUGCCCUAAUGGUGUCAAUGGUAUAUGCGAUCUGUCGUCUGGUAUCUGUCAAUGUCAAAGUCAAGUUCCAGUAUCCAGGAACGGAACACAGACGUGUCGCACAGCAGACGACUGCUUCCAGGUGAAUUUUUGUGCCGUUCCAAGAGAUGCGGUAUGUCGAUCGGGAAAAUGUGAAUGUCAAGUCAAACCUUGAUUCUCAUCAAUGAUAUUUAAAUGACCUGACUUACAAGUCUGCAUUACAUUUCAUGUACAUUUCAUGGAA
rnacentral:sRNA from 1 species